GAUCAUAGGCUCAGGAUGAACGCUAGCUACAGGCUUAACACAUGCAAGUCGAGGGGAAACGACAUCGAAAGCUUGCUUUUGAUGGGCGUCGACCGGCGUACGGGUGAGUAACGCGUAUCCAACCUGCCCAUCACUUGGGGAUAACCUUGCGAAAGUAAGACUAAUACCCAAUGACGUCUCUAGAAGACAUCUGAAAGGGAUUAAAGAUUUAUCGGUGAUGGAUGGGGAUGCGUCUGAUUAG
rnacentral:rRNA from 1 species